ensembl:lncRNA
CGAUAUGCUUGCUUGACUAGAGAAAAUAGAUCACACACACAGUACAUUCAGCAGGUACAGUACUAUAACUACCGCCCAAUCAAUCUCACCCAUGGCCCCCUCGGGUGUAAGUCAUCCUGUCAGACCUUUCAGACGGGGAAUGGGGGCGUUGUUUAUACCCAACGCUGGCUGAGGUAUACCCAGGUCUGUCGUAGGACUGUCUGGCUGCUCUGCAGACCUGUAUAUGGGGACCAAGGGUGUGUGUAGGCAGAGGUGAUGAAAUUGGAGACUCUAAAAGUCCAAAGUACCGAAGGGAUUGAGUUUCAUGAGAUCUCCGGAGGAUGUGGCGUGGCGUCAAACCGCCUGAUUCUCCUUCCUCUAUAUCUGUGGUUUGAUGGGUGAAAGGAUGGGAAGGACUGGAUUCAAGUUCGUUUAGAUGGUUCGAGACUCAUGUGAUAGGGGUAUUAAGUGUUAAUGUGUUUGUGUAUGUGUGUGGGUGCGUGUGGUGGCAACCCGCCAUCUUGGCAUGUGCCACAGGGACAGGUGGCUGUAGAGGAACAAGAGAGAGGGAGAUAAAGAGCGAGAGAGAGCUGUGGAGAGAGGAUAAUGACUAGGGAGAUAGAGGAAGAAGAAGAUAAAGACAGUGAGGAAUAGCUAUAGGGAGAAAUGGAGACAAACAGAGCGAUAGAGAAGGUUAAAGAGAGAUGGAGGUGGAGAGAGAGAGGGAUGGAGAGGGCUAGAAGAGAGAUGGUGGUGGAGAGAGUGAGGGAUAGAGAGGGCUAGAAGAGAGAUGGAGGAGGAGAGAGUGAGGGAUAAAGAGGGCUACAGAACGAUGGAGGUGGAGAGAAAUAGAGGGAUGGAGAGGGCCAGAGAGAGAUGGAGGUGGAGAGUGUGAGGGAUAGAGAGAUGGAGAGAGCUAGAGAUGAAGAGAAAGAGAAAGCAGCUAGUAUAGCGGUUGGUGAUUAAUAGCUUGUAGCUCAAAGCUUGUGGAAAGGGUGAUGAACUCAGCCUGUUUUCUCCGGGUGACUACCCCUUAGAAGAAGAAUGGCGGGAUAGAGUGAGAAAAUGAACAUACAUCGUACUUCACGUACAUACAAAGCCUCUUUGUAGAGAGCAGCUUCAUAUUUAUUAGGCCUGAAAUGCAUUAGUCUCCUUCAAUUUGGUGUCCUUUGGUAUCUGACAAAAAUGAGAUGUCUGAUUUGUGGCAAUGAUUACAGGCCACAGUACCUAGCACAUCAUACAUACUAUUACAAUUUAUUCAUUUAGCAGACGCAAUCCAAGCAGCAUACGGAGAACCGUUCAGCUGGGAGUCCCACACCUUAACCAUUACGGUCUUCUAACCAUAGUAACGUCAUUACCUUAUUUAAUGCUACAAUAAUACCCAAACCUAGUUGAAUUUAAGUUUGCUCAGGGAAAAUAAGAUCUCCUUCUUUUUUGAAUCAAUGCAGC